AAUAGCCCAGAGAAAUUUGGAUUAAUACCCCGUAACAUAACGAUGUGGCAUCACAUUGUUAUUAUAGCUUCGGCGCUUCUUGAUGGGUGUGCGGCUGAUUAGAUAGUUGGCGGGGUAACGGCCCACCAAGUCUACGAUCAGUAGCUGAUGUGAGAGCAUGAUCAGCCACACGGGCACUGAGACACGGGCCCGACUCCUACGGGAGGCAGCAGUAAGGAAUAUUGGUCAAUGGACGCAAGUCUGAACCAGCCAUGCCGCGUGAAGGAUUAAGGUCCUCUGGAUUGUAAACUUCUUUUAUCUGGGACGAAAAAAGGCGGUUCUUCGUCACUUGACGGUACCAGAUGAAUAAGCACCGGCUAACUCCGUGCCAGCAGCCGCGGUAAUACGGAGGGCGCAAGCGUUAUCCGGAUUCACUGGGUUUAAAGGGUGCGUAGGCGGGCAGGUAAGUCAGUGGUGAAAUCCUAGAGCUUAACUCUAGAACUGCCAUUGACGCUAUCUGUCUUGAAUAUUGUGGAGGUAAGCGGAAUAUGUCAUGUAGCGGUGAAAUGCUUAGAUAUGACAUAGAACACCUAUUGCGAAGGCAGCUUACUACGCAUAUAUUGACGCUGAGGCACGAAAGCGUGGGGAUCAAACAGGAUUAGAUACCCUGGUAGUCCACGCCCUAAACGAUGAUUACUCGACAUUUGUGAUACACUAUAAGUGUCUGAGCGAAAGCAUUAAGUAAUCCACCUGGGAAGUACGACCGCAAGGUUGAAACUCAAAGGAAUUGACGG
rnacentral:rRNA from 1 species